GAUGAACGCUGGCGGCGUGCCUAAUACAUGCCAGUCGAGCGAACGGACGAGAAGCUUGCUUCUCUGAUGUUAGCGGCGGACGGGUGAGUAACACGUGGAUAACCUACCUAUAAGACUGGGAUAACUUCGGGAAACCGGAGCUAAUACCGGAUAUUAUUUUGAACCGCAUGGUUCAAAAGUGAAAGACGGUCUUGCUGUCACUUAUAGAUGGAUCCGCGCUGCAUUAGCUAGUUGGUAAGGUAACGGCUUACCAAGGCAACGAUGCAUAGCCGACCUGAGAGGGUGAUCGGCCACACUGGAACUGAGACACGGUCCAGACUCCUACGGGAGGCAGCAGUAGGGAAUCUUCCGCAAUGGGCGAAAGCCUGACGGAGCAACGCCGCGUGAGUGAUGAAGGUCUUCGGAUCGUAAAACUCUGUUAUUAGGGAAGAACAUAUGUGUAAGUAACUGUGCACAUCUUGACGGUACCUAAUCAGAAAGCCACGGCUAACUACGUG
rnacentral:rRNA from 1 species